UCUUAUGGAUGAACAAAGAAAGUAGUUUCUUGAGAUGGAAUCUACUCCUACUGAAAAUGCUGUGAA
rnacentral:pre_miRNA from 1 species